rnacentral:rRNA from 1 species
GACGAACGCUGGCGGCGUGCCUAACACAUGCAAGUCGAACGGAGUUAAGACUUCGGUUUUAACUUAGUGGCGAACGGGUGAGUAACGCGUGAGAAACCUGCCUUUCAGUGGGGGACAACAGUUGGAAACGACUGCUAAUACCGCAUAAUGUUAUUUGGGGGCAUCCCUGAAUAACCAAAGCUUUAUGUGCUGAAAGAUGGUCUCGCGUCUGAUUAGCUAGAUGGCGGGGUAACGGCCCACCAUGGCGACGAUCAGUAGCCGGUCUGAGAGGAUGAACGGCCACAUUGGGACUGAGAUACGGCCCAGACUCCUACGGGAGGCAGCAGUGGGGAAUAUUGGGCAAUGGGGGAAACCCUGACCCAGCAACGCCGCGUGAAGGAAGAAGGCCUU